rnacentral:rRNA from 1 species
CGACCAAGGAGUCUAACAUGUGCGCAAGUCAUUGGGUUAUAUAAAACCUAAAGGCGUAACGAAAGUAAAGAAAGCUUUGCUUUAUUAGGGAGGAUAAUUUAUUAAAAUUAUAUUAAUAAAUUCGCACUCCCGGGGCGUCUGUUACUUAUUAUAAGUGAAGGCGCACCUAGAGCGUACCCGUUGGGUCCCGAAAGAUGGUGAACUAUGCCUAGCCAGGAUGAAGCCAGGGGAAACCCUGGUGGAGGUCCGUAGCGAUUCUGACGUGCAAAUCGAUCGUUAGAGCUAGGUAUAGCGGCGAAAGACUUAUCGAACCAUCUAGUAGCUGGUUCCCUCCGAAGUUUCCCUCAGGAUAGCUGGUGCCAAUGAUGAUACGAGUCUCAUCUGGUAAAGCGAAUGAUUAGAGGCCUUGGGGCCGAAACGACCUCAACCUAUUCUCAAACUUUAAAUGGAUGAGAGCUUUGACUUGCUUAAAAAGUGAAGUCAAAGACCUUGGAUCGAGGUGCCAAGUGGGCCAAUUUUGGUAAGCAG